GAUCUGGGAAGAUCUACCUGAGCAUUGGCACCGGAAGGUGAGCUUUCUCGCUGGCUCCCGAACACGCCCUGUGUGGAUCUGGUGACGGCGGCUCUUCGAGCAGUUGGAUGUCGGGCACGCAGAGGGCCCCGGAUCCCACCUGCCAGCGGCUUGUCAGUCACUCGGAAGGCACAGGAGCACGCCCCGAGUGGCCACCGCGGCCGGCGCUGACGCGUGCACACUUCUGGAGGCCAGGAGCCCUGAGUCACGGUGCCGGCCAGGUUGGUUCCUCCUGGGGCCCCUCCCGGCAGCUCCCGGGGGAGGGCGGUGGCACUUGGUAGCCUGUGGCUUGGUCUCCUUCCUGCCCGUGGCCUUCCCCUCCCUCCCCUUCUCUCUCCGCAGUGCACACAUCACGGCGCCCCUGGUGAGAGCCCCCAGAUGCUGGCAUCGCACCGGCCUUCCUUCUGCGAAGACGUCCUGUGGCCCGGGCAGGCGCAGCGGUGAGGGCCUCUUUCCAGUCCACGCAGAACCAGCGCCUUGUCCUCGGUCUGCAACUUGACUCUAAAUCAGAAGGUGCUUAGUGCCAACCAUCGGAGAAGCCUGCAGCUGGGAGUUCUCAUCACCGCCGCCUGUCGGUCCUGCUGGGCCAGGCACACGAGGGGACGCCAGCAGGACACACGGGCAGCUCACGUUUCCUGUCCUGGAUCUGACGUUAAGAAAACGCAGCAAGACCCAUUUUCAUUCACCAAGCGGAAGAGAGAUCCUCAGUGAGAGCCAAGGAGCCACCGGGCUGCACCCCACGGAGCAUAGCGGUCUCUCCCCAAGUCCUCCGCGUUAGGGGGCAGACGGCUGUGUGAGCCGUGCAGCGCUGGGAGGGCUCAGUCCGCAUGGCCGUGUGCUGUCCCGUCUCCUCACCCCUGUGCCCCCCUCCCCACUUGGUCCAACAGAGGCACAGCUCUGCCUCCAGACGGUCCUCUCCACUCCUCGCCUUCCUCCUCCAGGCAAACUCUGCAUUUUAAAUUUUUUUCUUUUUCCCCAAAGCAAAUCUCUCUCUGUCUGUCUCUGUCUCUAGGAACCGAGGUGAGACUCACAUAACAUGACCGUCCCCAUUCUAACGUGGCGCUUGGCGCAUCCUGGCUCUGUCUAGUUCCCCAGAAGGGAACCCGCACCCACAUUCAGGCCUCCCCGUGUUCUCCCCCAGCCCCUUGCUACCUGUCCCCAAGAUUUGGGUCAUAAGAAAAAGGGGGGAACCCCAACAAAAUGCAUAAGCGUCACAGGCCAAGCACGAAGUUUGGUCUACUUAGAGUCUAGGAGCAAGCUUUCUCUGUGAAUUCUGGCGAGUCGACUUUGCUCCGCGGGCAGGGCCCUCCCCGUGACCGCGGCUGUGGGUACCUCCGGAUUUUGCCCAGCGACUGGCGGAAUCUAUUUCUACAGCACAGAGCCCGCUGCUGCCCGCGCUGGCCAGGUGGUGCCGGGCGCAGCCCACAGCCGCGGCCGGCGCGGGUGCUGGGGAGCGCAGGACGCGUGGACCCCUGCUCGCCGCGUGAAACGCCUUUUCA
ensembl:lncRNA